AGGUGUCCACAUGAACUCUGAAGGAGGAAGCCACGAUGUCAGCUGUCUGUUCCCUUUGUCAUCACUGCUAGACACUAUUUGCUGAUUUAUUUGUUCAAUGCUGGUCUCCCACACUAGACCAUGAGCAGGAAGGAGAGGCAGCAUGCAACUGUGCUCGUUGUCUACACAGGGCCUAGCACUGGGCCUGGGCCAGGGCAGGCACCUGGGAGAUUGCUGCAAGAGAGAAGGUCACCUAUCUCCCCAGGUAGCCUCUCUCACCCUGACAAUGUAUCUUCACAGGUAAGGGACAAAGACAAGACUAGAAAUCAUCCCUCUGCCCACCUCAAGACAAAUGCAGAUCUGACUUCUUCUUCCUCUACUCUAUGUUUACUUUAUCUUAUGUAAAAUACAAGAUUUACU
rnacentral:lncRNA from 1 species